AGUCGUGGGGCAGCGCAGGUAGCAAUACUGGGCGGCGACCGGCAAACGGGUGCGGAACACGUACACAACCUUCCGAGAAGUGGGGAAUAGCCCAGAGAAAUUUGGAUUAAUACCCCGUAACAUAACGAUGUGGCAUCACAUUGUUAUUAUAGCUUCGGCGCUUCUUGAUGGGUGUGCGGCUGAUUAGAUAGUUGGCGGGGUAACGGCCCACCAAGUCUACGAUCAGUAGCUGAUGUGAGAGCAUGAUCAGCCACACGGGCACUGAGACACGGGCCCGACUCCUACGGGAGGCAGCAGUAAGGAAUAUUGGUCAAUGGACGCAAGUCUGAACCAGCCAUGCCGCGUGAAGGAUUAAGGUCCUCUGGAUUGUAAACUUCUUUUAUCUGGGACGAAAAAAGGCGAUUCUUCGUCACUUGACGGUACCAGAUGAAUAAGCACCGGCUAACUCCGUGCCAGCAGCCGCGGUAAUACGGAGGGUGCAAGCGUUAUCCGGAUUCACUGGGUUUAAAGGGUGCGUAGGCGGGCAGGUAAGUCAGUGGUGAAAUCCUAGAGCUUAACUCUAGAACUGCCAUUGAUACUAUCUGUCUUGAAUAUUGUGGAGGUAAGCGGAAUAUGUCAUGUAGCGGUGAAAUGCUUAGAUAUGACAUAGAACACCUAUUGCGAAGGCAGCUUACUACGCAUNNNNUGACGCUGAGGCACGAAAGCGUGGGGNNNAAACAGGAUNNNNNNCCCUGGUAGUCCACGCCCUAAACGAUGAUUACUCGACAUUUGUGAUACACUAUAAGUGUCUG
rnacentral:rRNA from 1 species